GGGCAGCGAAACAGCGAUGUGGAGCAAAUCCCUAAAAAACGGUACUCAGUUCAGAUUGUAGGCUGCAACUCGCCUACAUGAAGUCGGAAUUGCUAGUAAUCGCGGAUCAGCAUGCCGCGGUGAAUACGUUCCCGGGCCUUGUACACACCGCCCGUCAAGCCAUGGGAGCUGGGGGUGCCUGAAGUUCGUGACCGCAAGGAUCGACCUAGGGCAAAACCGGUGACUGGGGCUAAGUCGUAACAAGGUAUC
rnacentral:rRNA from 1 species